rnacentral:rRNA from 1 species
CGUAGGGCGCAAGCGUUGUCCGGAAUUAUUGGGCGUAAAGAGCUCGUAGGCGGUCUGUCGCGUCGGUUGUGAAAGCCCACAGCUUAACUGUGGGUCUGCAUCCGAUACGGGCAGACUAGAGGCAGGUAGGGGAGCAUGGAAUUCCCGGUGUAGCGGUGAAAUGCGCAGAUAUCGGGAGGAACACCGGUGGCGAAGGCGGUGCUCUGGGCCUGUACUGACGCUGAGGAGCGAAAGCGUGGGGAGCGAACAGG